UACGGGGGGGGCAAGCGUUGUUCGGAAUUACUGGGCGUAAAGGGCUCGUAGGCGGCCAACUAAGUCGGAUGUGAAAUCCCCAGGCUCAACCUGGGAACUGCAUCCGAUACUGGAUGGCCUGAAUUCGGGAGAGGGAUGCGGAAUUCCAGGUGUAGCGGUGAAAUGCGUAGAUAUCUGGAGGAACACCGGUGGCGAAGGCGGCAUCCUGGACCGAUACUGACGCUGAGGAGCGAAAGCCAGGGGAGCAAACGGG
rnacentral:rRNA from 1 species